rnacentral:rRNA from 1 species
GAGUUUGAUCGUGGCUCAGGAUGAACGCUGGCGGCGUGCCUAACACAUGCAAGUCGAGCGAACUCUUCGGAGUGAGCGGCGGACGGGUGAGUAACGCGUGGGUAACCUGCCCUGUACACAUGGAUAACAUACCGAAAGGUAUGCUAAUACAAGAUAAAAUAUAUUUAUCGCAUGAUAGAUAUAUCAAAGCGUUAGCGGUACAGGAUGGACCCGCGUCUGAUUAGCUAGUUGGUAAGGUAAAGGCUUACCAAGGCGACGAUCAGUAGCCGACCUGAGAGGGUGAUCGGCCACAUUGGAACUGAGACACGGUCCAAACUCCUACGGGAGGCAGCAGUGGGGAAUAUUGCACAAUGGGCGAAAGCCUGAUGCAGCAACGCCGCGUGAGCGAAGAAGGCCUUC